AUCCGGAUGACGAGUCACAUAUAGGACGAAACACAUGUCCUGGAU
rfam:Schistosoma haematobium scaffold2180_1, whole genome shotgun sequence.